UAGGAUAAGUGGGAGCUU
rnacentral:snRNA from 1 species